GGAACUACAGCAUGACUUACUGCUGAACUGGUUGCUGCAGUAAGCAACAGGAGAAUGCUACAAGGUAGCACCUGGGGCAUAAUUUUUAUGGAUUCCAAUCUCUUAGACCCACAGCCCUCUCUUUUUAUGUCAGCUUUCAGCAGCUGCUACCAUCUUAUUGAGCUUCGCCAUCCCAUGGGAGGAGGACCAGAGCCAGAGCCUUCCCUGCACUUGCCAGGAAAUCCACAGGUUUAUAGAUUUGAAGACUUGGAGGAGGCUAUCAUGAGCGUCUUCUCUAAACCAGUGUGGAACAUGGCCAUUCUACGUUCUGCAACGGCUUUCUUUCCUUCUACCAACUGGUCUCUGUGUGCAGCUGAACACUUGGAAGAUCUGCAAUGUGAAGCUCAGAGGGUCAUCUUCAGAAUGUUAUUUCUCUACUUAUAAACCUCAAGUGAUGGCAAGUCAGACAAAUUCUGAAAACUUAUGGGAAUGUCCUCUAAAAUGAAGUUUCUCAGUGAAUGAAUAGCUUUUCUGAUGGCAAUCUAGUCACCUGACAAGCAAAGUAUUUUAAAUACCACAACCUGACCAAUCUGUAUUAGCUGCAUGCAUACACUGUAGUCCUGUCUGAUACGUGGCAUUUUUAUCUGGUAUCUAUCAUUGCACACUCAUCAUCUUGCUGGUUAGGAAACCUGUCUCACUGGUGACGGGUGACAGGACGAGGGGAAAUGGCCUCAAGUUGUGCCAGGGUAAGUUUAGGUUGGAUAUCAGGAAACAUUUCUUUACAGAAAGGGUUGUUAAGCACUGGAAUAGGCUCCCCAGGGCGGUGGUUGAGUCACCACCCCUGAAUGUGUUUAAAAGCCGUUUGGAUGUGGUGCUCAGGGACAUGAUUUAGCGGAGGGUUGUUAGAGUCAGGGUAGUAUGGUUAGGUUGUGGUUGUACUCGAUGAUCUCUAAGGUCUUUUCCAACCUGAGUGAUUCUAUGAUUCUAUGAUUCAAGGGAUACAUGGAAAGCUGUUGACUGUAGGCAUACACAAGGGCAACAUUGCCAUAUGUUCACGAGCCUUCUUCACAAAGCUAAGCUCUGUCUGUGACUGUUUGUUCUUUAUUUCACCUAGACUCAUACCAAAAUGCCAUGCAGGGUAAGCAGUUAUUAAAGCAGGCCAAGUAUCUGUGAAGACUCACAGCAGUGUAUCUGUAUGAGGUAUUCAGACAGAUGUGCUUCAGAAAGUAGCAAACCAGACACAACACAACUGGAAGGUUAAAGCUAAAACCACUUCAAGGUUAAAGCAACACUCAACUCUGCAAAUAUGUAGCAGGCAAUUCGCAAAGAUAGCCUUUCUAAUGAGGAAUCAGUAGUUCCUGCAUUAUUUAUUUCUAUAUUGUUCUAAUAUUUCCAGAGAGCGUGGCAAUGAAAAACACGUCUCCUGACAUUCAAUGGAGCCAUGGCUUAAGGUGAUGCCAGAAAUCUGCCUGUAAUUGUUCUGAUGGAUUUCAUUACAUCCUGAUGUGACACGAUACAAAAAAUGCAUUGCACAGCUGCCUCAAAGUCCGAAAUUUUGAAGCAUUUUUUUAACCUGCAGAAACAAAUGUGCAGCUUACCCAUGUUCAGGUGCUCAGCAUAAUACCAAAGAGCUGCCUCCAUUGCUUUCUGGGCACCUCAUAGUGCCAAGGAAGGGCGGGGGGUUCAGGCAUCUCUCAUGUGCUUAACUAUAACGGCAUGGGUACCUGCAAGUGAGGUAGCAGGAGUGCUAAGAGCGUGUGGGCACACUGGAACAUCGAGUACAGAUAAAGAGCAGUAUCUUUUUACUUCCUUUGAAGGCCUUUACACUUUCUUUGCAAUAUAGUGAGAUAAAGUAUUUGUAAAAACAACUACUAGCCCAUAGAUGUAAAAAUAAUAGAAAUGACUAAUAUCUGGCAUAGGUUUCACACCUAGCAGCGGAUCCUGCAAUGUGAAUUCACACCUAAGCCUUUGUGGUGUUCUGCCUUCCUGUUUGAUGCUGAUGCUGAGGCUAUGAACUGCCAGCCUAAGGGUCUCACCUCACUGGGGUCUUUCCAGGCUCAGUUUUUGCAGAGCUACAAGCUCUUUCCUUUGCAAAGGCACCAGAGAGGAGAUGUGCCAUUUGAAGUGUUAUCUAUUGUAUUCUUCUGUGAUGAGUUGGUACAAAGACUGCUGUAAUUUAUAUUGAGAGUCAGGUUAAAUUAAUCACCAUAAACCAUAGGCUUUUUUUUUUUUUUUUUUGGAAUGUCAUUACAAUAUCACUGCACUGUAAUAGUGUCUGCUGGCAUCACUCUGGUUGAGCUCUGCAUGCUAAGUGCUGGAGAAGAAGGACAGAAUGACAAAGAUGUUACAACCUACCUGCGGAAAGUACCUUCUCCAGCUGCUUGACUACCCCUGUUUAGGAGAUGUCUCCGCAACAGAGGACUGUAAUUGAGAUUCCUCAGAUCAGGAGAUCACUUACAGAAUGUACACCUUGUGAUGCUUUUGCUCUUUCAGUUGUCCUCCUGUCCCCAAAACUGUUGUGAGAACAGAGGUGAAAUGACUAAUUUCAGACACAUCUCCAGUGUGGCUAUCAAAGCACUCCUUUCCAGAAGGCAAAUCAUCUGAUCCAUGUAGGGGUCCACCUUCAGUUUAAAUGAGCACUGAAAUAGUGGGAUAGGAUUCAGCUCUGAAUUAAUGUAAGUAAAUGCAAAAGUCCAGAUGUCAGAUGUUACCUUGGUGCCUAAGUUUCCAUUACAGUUAAUACAGUCUAAAAGAGAUAUUUAGCUAGCAGGCAAAGGUGCUGGAUUUAGCUGCUCAGACUUUGGCGUGGUUCAGUGCCAUCUGAAAUGCUCAUACACAGUUGACAGACACAACCUCUGAGAGAUCAGCAUCCUUUAGGAGAAGCAGCUGGGGAGCAGGAUAUCUUCAAGUAUCUCAGAUGACUCCUAAGAUGUCUGUGUGAGGAAUAGAAUAAAGUUUCAGGUGUUUACUGUAGAUUGAGCUGAAUGACUCUCUAGGAUCCAUAGGCUACAAUGAUUUUUUCUAACAGAAGCUUAGACAUUAGGUUUGUAUAUAAUCUACACACCGCAGCUCCUUGGUCCCCGGAUGGUAAACCAAGUGGAGAACUGUUCCAAAGAAUAUUUGUAGGAAGAAGAUGCUUUUGUUUCUAUCUAAAUUGAUACAGAAAAGACUGAUAUAUUUUUGGUUCUAAGUAUCCUGAAUUUCUCCAGUCUUCAUAUAGAGUGAAUUGAUCGUUGAUUCCAAAUAUCAAACGUAAUUACAACUAAUGGGUAACGUGGCCAUUUGUAACCUAUUAUCUGUAUCUUCAUGAGCAAGAGUUGAAGAAAUGAAGCUGUAAAGUCAAGUUUGAGGCAGCUAAAAGUUUCUCUGGACAAUAUAACCUCACUCACCAGUACUGAUCUCGCCAGAAUUCAGAGGCAGUGAUGGAACUGAGAGCUGACAGCAGCAGAGAGGUGUUGCAGAGACCUACAUCAGAGCUUCGCACAUGGCUUACCGGUUAGGCAGCUGAGAGCAGCCACUGACAGUUCUUUCAGAGCAUGCCAGACAAAUGUAAUACAGGAACUGAAAACACUCAGUGUCUUAAAUGAAAGUCAGUGACCAUUGACUCAUUAAGAAAAAUCAAGUCUGCACAGAACUGUCAGAAUAAAUCGUGUGUGGAAGAGUAACAGAGACAUAAUUAAGGUGCUUGUAAAGUGAGCAGGAGAAAUUACUGGUCACCAGGACACAAACCUGUUUCUUCCUUUUACUCUUCUGAACAAGAGGGCAGCUUUAGAUAAAGCAAAGGGAUAUGCAUAUGGACUGAAGAUCUAAGCUAAGAGGACGUGUUGUGUCAAGAAGUGUGUGUUGGAAUUAAACUAGCGUAGCUUUUUCUCAUACCAAUCAGCACCACUCAUUCUUCUAAUUUGACUGUAUAAAGCCCAGUUGCCAACCCCAACGUGGUUCAUUCCACGGCUUAUGGUGGAACUGUUCUUUUAAUGCUUCUGUCACUGAAAUCCAGGAAUGAAACUUGCUAAGCUGAAGGACAGGUCAGGCUUCCAAAACUACUUUUGUGUUAAAAGUAUUGUAUUUUUGUUUACAUAAUAGCUGAAUAUCACUGUCUGCAAUCUUAGCUGUGUCCUCUAUCUAGUGGCAAGAUUACUCCGGAUUUAAAACAGACACUGAUUUUGGGCAUUGUUUUAAAUAGAAGACAAGUAUCCUCCGGGAAAAUUGUGGUCAUGAUACGAAGACAGUAUGCCUUAGCAAAAUUAGAAGCACCAUCAUGCUAAGUGAAGAUACUGAAUUUCUACUCUAGAAACCAUAUCCUGACUUUCUGAACUUACUAAACUACCUUGUUGCCCACAACGCAUACCUGAAGUAACAAGGUCAGCUCUGACCUGAUCCCUCACGUUCCCUGUUCCAUGUUCUCAGUGAAAUUACACACUGCUGCUCAUUUUUCAUACGUACCUUUUCUUCUCUACUCAAAGUCAAGCAACCCAUGUUAUUUAUAUAAUAUCUCUUGACAUCCUUUCUUAAUUCUACCCUGAAAAAUCACAGAAAUCAGAUUUCUGUUAGAAGCAGGAAAAGUAGCAAUUUCAUAUCGCUAAUAGUCUUGAUUUCACUUUGUAGGAACUCGAGUGACUCAGCAUGACAUUUCUCCUGAUUAGGAAACAUUUUGCAAUUUCAUUUUAUGAUAUAUCAAUAAAAUUUUAUCUUUCCCUUAAUGUGCCCUUCUGAGAUGGACGUGCCAUAAAACACAUCCAUGGGCUGCUGAUUUACCCGUAGUUCCCUCUCUGAUUUUUAACACUGCUCAACACUCAUAUCACCCUACCAACUCUUUCUUCCACCUCAGCUGAGGAUCUGACUGAAAAAACUGAAAUCAAUUUCUAAUUGAGGAAGAACAGUAGCUGCUUUGGAAGAAAAUUAUUUAAAAGAAAAAAUCAACAACAACAACCAAUUUCUACCUGACAUGAACAUAAUUACAAGAAGUACCGACUACAGCUUAUUUAAGACAGGCAGAUGUUCCAGUUAUACCAUCAGCCAACCAAACAAAAAAAAAACCCUCCAAAAUUGUUGGACCUGUUUAAUCAAAGCCAAUGCAGAUAUGUGACUACACCUGCUCCCUUCCUUUGUCUGUACUCUCAGCACCUGCUGAUCCACUUCUGUCUCAUUUUGUCUUGACAGGGUGAGAAAUCGCUUCUAUGCCUGCUUGACUGUGCAGUUAGGAGCCUGCUCUGACUUUCACAACACAUUUUCAGCAUCUUGUUGCUGUAAUUUACCUUUGCAGCACCUGGGCCUAAGAGCAAAUAAGAAAGGGGAAGCAAAAAGAAGUGCCAGUGGGUGAUGAGUAAUGCCAGGAGAAUGCAGGUUCAGUACAAGUUAAAAGAAACUGAUCCAAAAAUAUUGCAGGGUGAAUUAGGCUAGAUAUGGAAGCUUACCAGAACAUGCAUAAAGAUUUGAGCUUUAGCUCCAGCUCCUAGGGACUGCUAUCUAAUUCUCAAUCACCAUAUAACGACAAAUAAUAGCUCUUACGGACAGCGAUCUAUUUCAGGUAAAGGGAAGUGUGCAAAGGUAAAGCUAUGGCUUUGAAUCUUCUCAGGCAGGGAAGGGCACUGAGCUGAGACUCACACACGUUGGACUAAUGAAGAAAAAGGAAUGUGCUACCAGUUUUGAAAGCAGUUAUGCAUUUUAUAGGAAGCCAAACCUGAACUCUGGAACUACUUUAAAUAAAAUUUGAGGAGGAAAAAUGGAGGCAGGAACACCCAGUUUUGAUCAUCCUAUGCCGUGAGCUAUGCUAUGAACUGCUUUGCCCUAUUAACACUGGGGUGUUUCUGAACAUGCUGAAGACCCUUUGUAACAUGGGAAACUUUUAAGUUCUGUCUUAAUGUAAAUACAGUAACUUCAAUGGACAGCUGAAUAAAGAUUCUGAAGAUUUAAUUUGGAUUUAUGUGUCUACAAUCUCCUAAAAUAGUGGUAUCUCAGUUCAUGACCAUACAAGAAGUCUACUUUAAAGUCCGUGGAUUUUUCAUUCAACCAAGAUUGAAAUUUUCCAAUACAUUUUUAGGCUUCAGACUGGCAGCAUUCCAUGCAGUCAGAUAUCCAUGAGCCAGAGAGAGCUUUACUGAUGUUUCCGAGCCAGUUUUAAGAACAGGAGCUGUGUAUCUUAUAUAUUAAUAAUGAAUAAGAGAGCUACACAAAUCCACAUUCCCUUUGAAGAAGUCUAAGUUUAAAAACAGCAAAACAUGCUUUAUGUAACAGAUCAAGAGUUAAAACGGAUUGGCUCAUGUAUGAAGACAUAUUGUCUCAAUUGUUAAUGCCUUUUACAAAAUGGCCUUAAAGUAGAAC